CCACUUUCCUAAUACCACUUUUCAACUUUACACUUUUCAAAUUUACUAUUAAAAUUUUAAUGGCUAAAGUACCAUUAUACCCCUCAUUUCAUUAAUUUAACCUAGAUCUAUUCUUCUCCAAAUGUCUGUCACGAGAUGAAAAUGAGAUCAAAUUGAGACGAGCUCCAACGAGAUCUCUGGCAAACUCGGCGAUCUCCGGCGAAUUCGGCGAUCUCCGGCGAACUUGGCGAUCUCCGGCGAACUCGACGAUCUCCGACGAACUCGACCGGAUUGGGAGAGCGUGGCGGCGAGUGGACAUCCCGCCGUUCCUCCGCCGGCAUUAUGUAGUCGUAGUAAUCCUCCGAUGCUAAAUCGGUCACGUUCUUCACGAAUCGCAUGCCGAGAAGUUCUCCGGCAAAGCUGACAGACUCGACAAGCUCAGACGAACGAGACGAUUUCUCUCCCAACGCCUAAGAAACACUAACAAAGGUAAGAUGAUAGUAUAUGGUGAUUUUUGCCUUUUUCUGUAAUCUUAGCUUGAUUUAUCAAAAUCGAUAUGUUUCUAAGAAAGAAGACGAAGUUUUUCAAGUGAAGUUUUCAGAUCUCAAAUUUAUAAGAUCUUAUAAAUUGGGUCCUUUCAAAUCUUACUAUUGAUCUGUUAGCAAUCAAAAGACACAAAGCUUAACGUAAGAGUACAAUUAUUGAUUUGGUUGAUUUAUUGUCAUAGUUUUCAGAUUUAUAUAAUUAUUUAAUUCAUGAGAAGGUACUAACCUAAGAGUAUAAUUAUUCUAUGAUUACUUCUUCUCUUGGUUGAUUUGGUGAUGUUGCAGAGAAUUACAAAUGUGUGUUGUCAGCUUUUGGAUUUAAAGGAUGUUGUGGAGAAUAUGUGUGCUGAUAUGCAUAUCUAAGUAUCUCACUUCUUUAAGAUUUUGAAAAUUUACGAGGUUGGUGAGCUGUUUGAAGAGGCAAGAGAGACUCUGAAGAAGAAUGUGGUUUGUGCUAUCAAAGAAUUACGUAUUUAUAACGCUUUAUAAAAGUUGCAGAGUUGGCUUCUUAGUACAUUCUUCUCUCUCAUCUUAUUUAGACAUCUCUUAUACUAAAACAAUUGUAUCUCUCUUUUAGUAGUUGCAUAGUUGAAGAUAUUAGUUGGACAUGUAAGUGAGUUUGGUUUCAAUUGUUUCUUUUAUAGAAGAGUGAGAUAUGGAGAAGCCUUGAUGUUCUCAGACUAUGUUAAAGCAAUAUAUCCCUUGUUGAAGGACGUGGCUCUUUCACCAGAUA